GUGAAUCAUCGAAUUUUUGAACGCAAAUUGCACUCUCUUCGGAGAGUAUGCCUGUUUGAGGGUCAGCCUAAAAAAAAAAAUCGACAUAGUCGCUGUUUCGCGGUGACAUUCUUCGGAAAUUGGGUCAUUUUUAACCUUUGUGUUUUAAGCGGUUUAAAAUUUUUUUUUCGAUUCCACGCACAUUUCUAAGAUUUAUUUCUUAUACGUUUAAGGUAA
rnacentral:misc_RNA from 1 species